rnacentral:rRNA from 1 species
ACGNGACCCCAGGUCAGGCGGGGCUACCCGCUGAGUUUAAGCAUAUCAAUAAGCG